rnacentral:lncRNA from 1 species
CUGGAAUUUAUCUGUUUUGAUUUUAUAUGGUUUCCUAGGGUGUAAUUUGAGUAUCAGUAACUAUCUAAAAUGAUAAUUGUGGCUGGUAUAACUAUAGUUGGGAUGAAACUAGUAAAUAAAAUAUGUUAGAUGCUUAAGAAAUACCUGCUCAAUAUUUGCAAAGGUUAGCUACAUGUACUUUUGUCAAGUGUAUAUAAAGAGUAUCAUUCUUAAACUUUCCAUUGAUUCGUAUGGUUGCUUUUGCUCUUCAUUGCAUUGCUUCUUUCAUGUGAUAAUUCUGGUUUUUGUUAUGAUCUAUGUUCAUGUUUUGGAAGCUAACUUUGGGUUGGGUCUUGCAGGCAUGAAAAAUAUUUAACAUAAUACAGAGUAAUAUUUGUUGUCAACUGCAAGAUAAAGAAUGACAAGUGUCCCA